CCAUGCCGCGUGUAUGAAGAAGGUCUUCGGGUUGUAAACUGCUUUAGUUCGGAACGAAAGGGUCCUGUCUAAUACGUGGGGGUAAUGACGGUACCGUAAGAAUAAGCACCGGCUAACUACGUGCCAGCAGCCGCGGUAAUACGUAGGGUGCAAGCGUUAAUCGGAAUUACUGGGCGUAAAGCGUGCGCAGGCGGUUCUGUAAGACAGAUGUGAAAUCCCCGGGCUCAACCUGGGAACUGCAUUCGUGACUGCUUAGCUAGAGUACGGUAGAGGGGGAUGGAAUUCCCUGUGUAGCAGUGAAAUGCGUAGAUAUGCGAAGGAACACCGAUGGCGAAGGCAAUCCCCUGGGCCGGUACUGACGCUCAUGCACGAAAGCGUGGGGAGCAAACAGGAUUAGAUACCCUGGUAGUCCACGCCCUAAACGAUGUCAACUGGUCGUUGGGACUCUACUGACUCAAUAACGAAACUUACGCAUUAAGUUGACCGGCUGGGGAAUACCGCCGCAAGGUUGAAACUCAAA
rnacentral:rRNA from 1 species